AUUGCACUGGGCGUAUUAACAUUGUAAUAAACUACAUUAGUAUAUUACAAUCUACAAGGUGCAAGAGCAAAUAGUGAUUGUCGUACUCACAUGACCGCUGUCGGACAAUGUGGGCAGUAGCAUUCAUACAAGCUU
rnacentral:snoRNA from 1 species